rnacentral:rRNA from 1 species
GCAUAUCAAUAAGCGGAGGAAAAGAAACCAACAGGGAUUGCCUUAGUAGCGGCGAGUGAAGCGGCAAAAGCUCAAAUUUGAAAUCUGGCGCCUUCGGUGUCCGAGUUGUAAUUUGAAGAUUGUAACCUUGGGGUUGGCUCUUGUCUAUGUUUCUUGGAACAGGACGUCACAGAGGGUGAGAAUCCCGUGCGAUGAGAUGCCCAAUUCUAUGUAAGGUGCUUUCGAAGAGUCGAGUUGUUUGGGAAUGCAGCUCUAAGUGGGUGGUAAAUUCCAUCUAAAGCUAAAUAUUGGCGAGAGACCGAUAGCGAACAAGUACAGUGAUGGAAAGAUGAAAAGAACUUUGAAAAGAGAGUGAAAAAGUACGUGAAAUUGUUGAAAGGGAAGGGUUUGAGAUCAGACUCGAUAUUUUGUGAGCCUUGCCUUCGUGGCGGGGUGACCCGCAGCUUAUCGGGCCAGCAUCGGUUUGGGCGGUAGGAUAAUGGCGUAGGAAUGUGACUUUACUUCGGUGAAGUGUUAUAGCCUGCGUUGAUGCUGCCUGCCUAGACCGAGGACUGCGAU